UCUGGUUGCACCUGCUGAAAAUACGCAUAUAUUCAGCUCGUUCCCUCGGGGACUAUGGACAUAAACGCGCUCGUAAUAAGCGGAUCGGACCCGGGGGCGGUACCCGGCGGCUCCACCAACAUCCUUCAUUUGGGGAUCAUGGGGCCGAAAUAGGAUCGACGAACGUCUAAAGGGGUUAGCUUUGUCUCGGCGGGGUGCCACCGUAUCGGCCCGACUAGUACAAUUGCAAAUGACAAUCGUGCUCCGGUAGCAGUCGCUGCGUAAGCAGUGCCUAACACCGAACUUUAAGCCCUUAUGCCUAGCCGCGUAAGGCGGGGGUCGCAGGUCCCUGGCAACAGAAACCUGCACU
rnacentral:tmRNA from 1 species